AAGGCCUGGUCCUGACCUUAUUAUCAGCUCUUACCCAACUUACACAUGCAAGUCUCCGCAGCCCCGUGAGCAUGCCCUUAAUCCCCCGUCCGGGGACGAGGAGCGGGCAUCAGGCACAAACUUUAGCCCAAGACGCCUAGCCAAGCCACACCCCCAAGGGAAUUCAGCAGUGAUAAACAUUAAGCCAUAAGUGAAAGCUUGACUCAGUCAGGGUUAAUUGAGGGCCGGUAAAUCUCGUGCCAGCCACCGCGGUUAAACGGGGGACCCUAGUUGAUAACACCACGGCGUAAAGGGUGGUUAAGGAAAGUAAAAUAAUAAAGCCGAAUGGCCCUUUGGCCGUCAUACGCUUCUAGGCACUUGAAGCCCAAUUUAUACGAAAGUAGCUUUAAUAAAGCCCACCUGACCCCACGAAAGCUGAGAAACAAACUGGGAUUAGAUACCCCACUAUGCUCAGCUAUAAACCUAGACUUCCAAAUACAGAUAAACGUUCGCCCGGGUACUACGAGCAUUAGCUUGAAACCCAAAGGACCUGACGGUGCCUUAGACCCCCCUAGAGGAGCCUGUUCUAGAACCGAUAAUCCCCGUUAAACCUCACCACUUCUGGCCGUCCCAGCCUGUAUACCGCCGUCGUCAGCUUACCCUGUGAAGGUAAAAAAGUAAGCAAAAUGGGCAUAGCCCAGAACGUCAGGUCAAGGUGCAGCUUACGGAGUGGAAAGAAAUGGGCUACAUUUUCUAUCACAGAAUACUACGAAUAUGCAACAUGAAACAAUGCUUGAAGGAGGAUUUAGUAGUAAAAAGGAAGCAGAGUGUCCUUUUGAACCCGGCUCUGAGGCGCGUACACACCGCCCGUCACCCUCCCCGUCAAUAAAAUGCAAUAAAAGUACAUACACCAAAGCACUGACAAGAGGAGGCAAGUCGUAACAUGGUAAGUGUACCGGAAGGUGCACUUGGAUUAAG
rnacentral:ncRNA from 1 species